rnacentral:rRNA from 1 species
AACCUGAACGCUCAACGUUCAGCCUGCCGUUGAAACUGCCGGGCUUGAGUUCAGUGGCGGCAGGCGGAAUUCGUGGUGUAGCGGUGAAAUGCAUAGAUAUCACGAGGAACUCCGAUUGCGAAGGCAGCUUGCCAUACUGCGACUGACACUGAAGCACGAAGGCGUGGGUAUCAAACAGGAUUAGAUACCCUGGUAGUCCACGCAGUAAACGAUGAUUACUAGGAGUUUGCGAUAUACCGUCAAGCUCCCACAGCGAAAGCGUUAAGUAAUCCACCUGGGGAGUACGCCGGCAACGGUGAAACUCAAAGGAAUUGACGGGGGCCCGCACAAGCGGAGGAACAUGUGGUUUAAUUCGAUGAUACGCGAGGAACCUUACCCGGGAUUGAAAUGUAGAUGACGGAUGGUGAAAACCGUCUUCCCUUCGGGGCGUCUAUGUAGGUGCUGCAUGGUUGUCGUCAGCUCGUGCCGUGAGGUGUCGGCUUAAGUGCCAUAACGAGCGCAACCCACAUCGGUAGUUGCUAACAGUUUUCGCUGAGGACUCUACCGAGACUGCCGUCGUAAGGCGUGAGGAAGGUGUGGAUGACGUCAAAUCAGCACGGCCCUUACAUCCGGGGCGACACACGUGUUACAAUGGGAGGGACAAAGGGCAGCUACCGGGCGACCGGAUGCGGAUCUCUAAACCCUUCCCCAGUUCGGAUC